UUAUAAUUCAAAUAAAUAUCCUUUAUUAAAGAAAAAAAGAAUAUUGUUAAGCACCAAAACUGUGUGUUACAUUGCAUGUACAAUAAGAGAAAGGUGAGUGCAAUUUUGGGUGAGCAAGUACUUAAUUCUGAAGUCAGGAGUGUGAAAUGUAAAAAAGAAAGCAACACAACAAUUACGAUGCAGAAAGAUUGCACUAAAGAGCAGAAGGCAAUAGUCAAAACAAUUAUUGUUGAUUUCAUAGUAUUGCUAUAAAUGCCUGCGUAGUAUUUUCUUUGUAUUUUUAAUACUUUAGAAUGUUAACUGAGCAUAUUUAGGUAUAUGAAUUUGCAAGAGAUGGCAUUUACAGUAUGAUGCAGACAAUCCACUUAAUGUAAUGGUGGGCAAGCCAUCCCGUAAAGCCAAGCACAGUGCACUAGUGUUUUGCUUCUGCCUUUAUAACAUUGCACAAAGCUAAUAGUGGUGAGUCAGUUUGCCAUUGUAAUUUUCAUUUACCCAAAACAGGUAAAAAGAAAAAAGUGUCAGUUUCUUUAGCCCCAGUGGGCUUUACUCAUGCAAAAUGAUCUGCGGCCUUCCAUUUCUCAAUAAACUACAUAUUAUGGUUUCACACUUGGCAAUGCAUACAGUACAGAGAGAGUUUCGACAAGGCAGUGUGGGGACUGUGUCAAAGACAUUGUAUGUUACUGUUAUGGGAUGCACUGUCCAACCUUUGUAACAUCACACAAAUGAAGGGAAUCCCACUGGUAAUUGUGAAGACUUUGUAGUAAAGACAAUGGAAUUUGCAUGGAGAAACCUAAAACAACACAUUACACCCUUUGAUAGUUGACUAUACAACAUGCAAGUAAAAAUGUCUUCUCCUGUUAAAACUCAACUCUAACACACACACCUUUUGCCUUCAAAUUUCUCCAGGUCUUUCCUAUACACUUUCAAUGUCCCAAACUGAGUCACUCUUAACUGUAACUGAAUCUACAAAAAAGAAAUGAAACUUACCCUUCCUCUCAAAACAAAUAAUUGCUUUAGAGUUGGUGUGGAACAGCAAUCACAACGUUUAGCAUGUCAACUCAGAGGUAUUUUCUGUACCUGCACCUUGUAGUAACCCAGUAAAUGUGCUUUGAAGAGGGGAUAUUUCUAAAUUCGGAAAUCAGUCUUACAAAUGCUAAGUUGUGCGUUCACUGUGGGGAAAAUGAAAAUUUAAAAUACUAGCAUUUUUAACAUAACUCAAGGAACAUUUAGUAAACACACAUUCUCUCUCACUCUGCCUCCCACUUUUAAAAACCUCUGUUUAAAUACAUGACAGCUUAGACAAUGAUAUAAACUUAUUCUGUAUGAAAACUUUAAGUUACAUUAUAUUAAUAGGAUAAAAAAUACCAUUGCUUCACUUUACAAAGCAAUUAGGCAGAAUUUUACUGUGCUUUAACAAAAAAGGAAAGUUGAGGCAUGACCACUGAUGGUCAGUAGAAGACAUAAAUGCUGAAUGCUAAACAUUAAGGUGCUUCUACUUUCUCACCUCUCUUCCAUCUAAAACAAGUCUCAAGGGUCACUGCAUCGCCAAGCACAAAUAAAAUGUUCAAUACGUUUAUUUAGCAUUAUAUAAUCAUUUAUAUUCAGUGCAAAAAACAAAGAAAAAUUAAAGUUUCCACUUCCGUCAAAUGGCUGUCUUAGGCUGUCUGCAAUGUUCUGCAGUUGGUCAGAAUUUCUUGGUUAUUCUAAGUAAAAAAUACCAAGUUAUUCUUGGUAAAAAUAUAACCUCAAAACUCCCUGAUAGGUCUGCUAAAGACCCAAAGUAACUACAUAGAUUGGUUUCUGGUGAUGAGCAUAUUACAAAGCAAGGCUAAAAGCACUGAUUUAAAUAAAUACAUCCUGUGAAUGAGUUACAAAAAGAAGUCUCAGGGAGUAUAGAGAAUGCAACUGCAUCAAUGUGUGUGUCUCUGUGCGACAUAGAUGCUGCCUAUGAGGAACUAUCCCACUGGAUUUGAAAUUCUUAGCGUCGGGUGUCUAUGGUACACUGUGCAAUUUAGCACACUCUAGGACAUACUGUGGCACAAAGUAUUGUUCUACACACAUGGUAGACUCAACAAAAUUCAUUACAGGAAAGGCCACCAUACCAGUAUCUCUUUUAAAAAUGAAAUUUGCAUGAUGUGUUGUGGUGCACAUCUAUAGUCCCAGCACUCAAAGAGGCAGAAGCAGGUGAAUCUCUGAGUUCAAGGCCAGCUUUGGUUCUACAGAGUGAGUUCCAGGACAGCCAGGACUACACAGAGAAACCCUGUCUGGGGCUGGGGUGGUGGUGGUAAGUGCACUGAACAGCUAAGGAAUGAUUGUUUUUAUGAACUUCAUGCCCCCCCCCAUCAUUGCUUACCCCUAAAGUCCUUGUUCCCCAGCAAUUUCUGAUUGCUGAAAUACAAUCAGGACUUUAAGCCAUCAGAUAUGCCUUUUUCUAUGCACACUACAUUGGCUAUUAAAUACAAUUUUGGUUGUAUUAGGGGGAUAUUUGAAAUUGACAUUCAAAUACGAAGGAUAACACUAAGCUAAGCAUCCCCAAGUCAUCUACUUGUUCCCUGUCUUCAGUAUACCGUAUUUGGGAACAGCACAAACAAGCAGGGAUCUAACUGUAGAAGCAGACUGGGAAUUAAAAGCAUUGACUGUGAGUGCCAUGACAACUAAACAUAUAACCGUACUGUGAAGGCCAGAGCUCAUAACUUCUGGUCUGCUGACUUCUUCCAAAAUUAAGUCAAAGGUCCUUGUUUUAUUAAGUGUCUAGGGAACUAAGAUAGAGGAGGAAAACAACAACAAAAACUCACCAGGCUUAUUGCCAUUUUAAUGGGGCUCUAAAUCUAGUGAUUUGCUGAACAUCUGUAUACUAGCUAUUUUAAAUUAUAUUAUUGUGGAUAACUCCAAUGGUGUGUGAUUUUAUCAAGUAGAAAUAUUUUCUUGGGGGUUAGGAAGCAAUACUACAGAUGGAACAGGUCUUAAACCAUACUCCUGAGCCACAUUCGAGUAUAAGAACUAGAAUCCUGAGGCAGGGAAACCAGCAUGUUGGGAGAAAACCAUUUGCUUGAAAGUGAGCUGAAGGGUCUGGUGCUGUAGCCAUGGAUUGUCAAGAAUAAAGUCAUUCAUGGAAAAGGCCAGGAGUUUGGUGCUAAGACUGAUUACAACACAUUGAACAUUAUAUUCCAUAUUUUCCUAAAGUUUAAAAGAAAAAUAGGCUGAAAAAAUAGUUCAAGGGUUAAGAGCAUGAACUGCUACUUCAGAGUAUGUAAGUUUGAUUCCCAGCAACCACAUGAGAGUCUGUAAAUCUAGCUCCAGGUAAGAGCCUCUGCGAACAUACAUAAUUUUAAAAAAAUGAAUCUUUAAAAACAGGAUAAAUACAAUACUGAUACAUGGAUCUCUAAUAUUGGAAGUGUAUAAAUGACGGGUGACUUUUAGGAAGUUUGUAAACUGCAAAUUUUCCAAAUAUUUUUAUCUAGCUAAUGACUCUUUGGGUUAAACACAUGCUGAUGCUUUACUGGAGUACACAGGACCCAUCUAUCACCUUGGGGUGAGGUUUGUGUAUCAGAGUUGUUUUCAUUGUGCCAGACGAGAUAUGGGAAUAGUGCUAGGACUAAAACCAAUAUAUAAAUAAAAUGCUACAGAAGCUACCAGUCUCAUCAAUAAACAUGCUAUGGAUACUUAAGUGCAAAGAUUUGGUUUACUUUAACCCGUUACCAGAAUUUUUUCCCAUAAUGAAUUUAAAGAAAAAUCUCUCUUAAAAAUAUCAAGAAAAGGAGGAGACCAUGGUGGACAGUGAGGUGCUUUCAGGGCUAAGCUGGGGAAGAGCUCUCUAGGAAUGAAGUGCUUUUUGUUAUUUUAAUCCCUCCCUAUAAAGCCAAGAUCUGUCUUCAGCAGCAGCACACACUGCAGCAUGCUGUAAAAUGGCUCCAGCACAUCUACCCUCAUGCAUGUCCACACAAUCCCAUUGACAAGCCAUGCCAGCUCCAUUCAGAAAUGAACCCUAAGUCAGCAUUCAAACUAAGUAUGUACGUUUAAAGAUUUAGUGACAGCAACAAAUGCUCCCCUAAAGCCCUAUCCAAAGACUAAGAAAAUAGCAAAUGCCAGUGGGAGGCUUACGGGAUUGGCUAUCUUCUGGACCUUUACUGAACACAAGUGCUCUUCACCAUGGAGCACAACAAUAAAAACUUAAAACUGGUGCAUGAUAUAGUUGAACAUCUGUAUCCCUACUAUUGAAUCCUUGUUUUGAUUCUCAAUAGGAAAGUCAUGAGUUAUAGUAAUCAAGCAGUAGUUCAAACAAAAAGACUAAAAAUAAUUUGAAAUAUUAUCAAAUUAUGAAGCAUUGCUCCUCAUAAACGGUGCACAUAAAAUUCAAAACUAUUCUAAAUUCAGAAUUAUGAAACACUAUUUUAAAGGCAUGGAAAUUUUAACUUCAAACUCUUACAAAAUGUAAGAUGGUGGCCUCUUAAAAAUAUGCCUUGUUAAAUGUGUCAUGUUUGGUGCACACAUUAAUGGGUAUCUCCAUUAGCUUCUCAGAUAGUGAACAUCUCUGGAGAUGGAAAAUGUGGAAAUCUUAAGUGUAUACCAUGUUGUUUCCUUUUAAUUCCUGACUGAAACUACCAUGACAAAUGUCUUCUUUAGCAUGUCACGCUAUUCUAGAAGCUGAUGUGGAAGCAGCUGUACUUUAGCAAAUAUCUUCUCCAUUCACUGAAGAUGAAUCCCAAAAUAGCUCACACAGUAGAACUCUGCCAACCCAGUGUUCUUCUAGUUCACAGUGACUCCUAGGUGUAACUGGCCACUGUGAGAUCACGAAUGGGCAGAUAGGAAGAGAAGGUGUGUAAGAGAUAGCCGUCUUCAGGAGGCCUUCUCUCGGCAGUCAGGAACAUUGCACAUUUAAAACUGACGUCACCACUACCAGUGACAGUGACUGAACAGUAAUAUCUUCCAAUUGUGCUUCCUUGUUUUCACACGACUUUGCCAAUGUACUCAGGGUCUAAUGGAAUCCAAUAUGGGACCAAGAGCUUAAACUUUUCCCCCAAAAGAAUCAGACCCAGUCUUCAUCCAUGGGUAUUUUUCUUCUUUCUGUUAAGUUACCUGUUAGUAAACAAAAUAACACAAUGUGUUAGGACAAAAUGCUUCUUAAAUAUAGGGUAUAUAUCUGUAAUGAAUACUAUUUUUUUCUUUUAAUAGUCACCUAUACAGUUUAGGAUUUCCUUCAAAAAUGCCUAUAAUUAUUUAGUUUUAUUUUAUGUGUAUGAGUGUUUGCCUGGGAAUGUAUAUGCACCAUGUGCCUAUAGUGCCUGUGGAGGCCAGAAGAGGGCAUCAGAUCCCCUGUGGCUGCUGCCAUGGAGAUACUGGAACUUGUACUCAAG
ensembl:lncRNA